rnacentral:lncRNA from 1 species
CUCAGUUAGAGAUUUUCAACAGUGAUUAUUCUCUGAAAAUUUAUUGUGUGGGUGGCACUGUGCUAAUGAUGAUAUUGAAGGUAUUUAUAACCUGUCCUCUUUGGUUUUGUAAUAAGUAUUCUAGUUGCCCUUGUGAUUUAAUUAAAUAAAAUUGGCUGUUUACACAGUGUUUAUCACAUCCUCAUAUAAAUUGUUGAGUUGAGUCAUGAUUUUCCCAUUUCUCAUAGAGUUAUGUAGUAUUUACCUAUACCUAAUAGU